UUGACCCUUACAGGCCCCCGUAGGACUACAGUAGGUCUUCUCUCAGUAAAAGUGCGUCUGCAGGCCGGACAAAGAGAAGCGCUCCUUGUUGUGUUUCUCCGUCUGAGCGGACUCAUUCAGGAUGAACUCAUGUUUUCCGUUUCUCUGACUCACACGUUGCUUUUAUUGAAUCCAUCAGGAGCUCCUCGCCGCGCUCCCGGCGCUCCUCCUGCCCGUGUUUUGUUUUCUUGCUCUGGGACUUUUUUCUGGAGGUUUCUGCUUUGAGGAAACUUUAAUGAAGUUAACAUUUUUGGGGGUUUUGUGUUUUGGCUUCGGGACUCUGCCGCCACAGAGCAACACUUCAUUUCCUCUAAAUUUCAUUUGGAGUCCAGUCACACAGAGAAAUACUGCAACAUCAGCAGAAAGGCCUACGGCAUCACGACAGGGACAAAUUCAGGACAUUACUUUGAUGAAAAAUAUUCACACAUUAAGUUAAAAUAACAGGUGACUAAAAACAAUCAACUGAUUACUUGAUUUGUCCAAAGAAAAUCAAUCGGCAACGAUUUUGAUAAUCAGUUAAUCAUUUAAAGCAAAAACCAACGAGUUCCAGUUUCUAAAAUGUGAAUAUUUCUCUGAUGUGAAUUUAAAACAAACAAUCGAUGGAUUAAAAAAACCUGACAGACUAAUUGAUGACGACAGGCGUCCCGUAAAACGAUAAAAUCUUUCAGAUGACUUUGACGGGAUCUACAGUUCGCUGUCGGACCAACGACCGAGGUUUGUGAUCAGAUUAAAUUGUUUUAACUAGUUUCUCUUUGCUGAACGCAGAACAACGUCCUGCAGCAUCAAAGCAGAGGGAGAAAAGUGGAGAAGACGCAGGACGAAGGCUUCAUGUCAGAGGUCGUCUGUCUGAAGUCUGUUAUUUACUGCAUUUCAACAACAACACGUCCUGCGACAGGACGGAGAACUAAAUCCCCACUUUUUUGGCUGAGGCCUGGUGGAUUUCCUCUCAGCUGGGACGAAAACGCACAUUUAACGUGCUGAACACACGUUCAUCGCUUAUUUCACAUCAAAACAUCUGUUCUACGUGACGUCAAACCCGAAGGUGACUCAGUGGCUUUCUGGAGCUUUCGGCUGCUUCUCAUUAUCUUCCUCUGCAAACGGAGUCCUUUCACAAACAUGUGGCUUUCAGACGUUACACAGUAUGAAAUACGACGCUCUCUCUGGGAAACCUGAUAUUUCUCUAUGUGAAACAUCAGCUAUAUAUGUGCUGUUGUACAAGAUGAACCAGUCUGGAGUACUACAGGAGUACUACAGAAAGACCCCAGGAAACUACUACAGAAAGACCCCAGGAAACUACUACAGAAAGACUCCAGGAAACUACUACAGAAAGGCCCCAGGAAACUACUACAGAAAGGCCCCAGGAAACUACUACAGAAAGGCCCCAGGAAACUACUACAGAAAGACUCCAGGAAACUACUACAGAAAGACUCCAGGAAACUACUACAGAAAGACUCCAGGAAACUACUACAGAAAGACUCCAGGAAACUACUACAGAAAGA